UGAGGAAUAUUGGUCAAUGGGCGCUAGCCUGAACCAGCCAAGUAGCGUGAAGGAUGACUGCCCUAUGGGUUGUAAACUUCUUUUAUAUGGGAAUAAAGUGCAGUAUGUAUACUGCUUUGCAUGUACCUUAUGAAUAAGGAUCGGCUAACUCCGUGCCAGCAGCCGCGGUAAUACGGAGGAUCCGAGCGUUAUCCGGAUUUAUUGGGUUUAAAGGGAGCGUAGGCGGGUUGUUAAGUCAGUUGUGAAAGUUUGCGGCUCAACCGUAAAAUUGCAGUUGAUACUGGCAUCCUUGAGUACAGUAGAGGUAGGCGGAAUUCGUGGUGUAGCGGUGAAAUGCUUAGAUAUCACGAAGAACUCCGAUUGCGAAGGCAGCCUGCUGGACUGUAACUGACGCUGAUGCUCGAAAGUGUGGGUAUCAAACAGG
rnacentral:rRNA from 3 species